rnacentral:rRNA from 1 species
UACGAAUGGGGCAAGCGUUGUUCGGAAGUACUGGGCGUAAAGCGCACGUAGGCGGAUUGGAAAGUUGGGGGUGAAAUCCCAGGGCUCAACCCUGGAACGGCCUCCAAAACUCCCAGUCUAGAGUUCGAGAGAGGUGAGUGGAAUUCCGAGUGUAGAGGUGAAAUUCGUAGAUAUUCGGAGGAACACCAGUGGCGAAGGCG